rnacentral:lncRNA from 1 species
GAGUACAUGAAAUAACGUCAGCUGUAUCAGCCAUAUGCCAGACACACCACCAGGUAACAGCACAUACUCCUACAGAGUCUGAAUUCCAUCUGAAUUCCAUCUAAACACAGGCAUCAGGGUCAGUGGAUUCUCAGCAGAACUGAACUCUUUGAAGAGAGAACCAUGAGUGUGGAGCACAGAGACUGACACGCCAGAGACGGCCGUGAA